rnacentral:lncRNA from 1 species
GUGGGUUAGGUCGGUAGUCUAAGGAUUUACGUUGCAGUAUGUUUUUCCUCUUCCUUCGAUCCUUGGCAUUCGUAGAACACAAGCCAUAUGUGAGAUUCCUUGUUAGAGAACUGAAACCCUAAUCGUAAAAACUUUGGGUUGUGUUUUUCGGUUCUUCAGGUAUUUACUAAUUCCUUCUCUAAACGCUUGCGUAAUUUUCUUUUUCAAUUCUGUUUGUGAGCGUUAAUGACUUGCAACAAAUUUGAUUCUCUAAUUUAGAAAGUUAGGAAUUCUGAUUAUAUAUGCGUUCUUGUUCUUCAGUCAUUCAAUGAGACCCAAACACCCCCGGACCCAUGUCUAUCUCUCUAACUACGGUCCCCCGAUACCCAAAUCUACCUCGGCAUGUCUGCAAUCGAAGAUCUGUAAGUUUCAUUAUUUUUAUUCUUUUCUUUAUUUUACGUUUAUAGGGUUUUUCUGUAAUUGAGAAUGAUGACGUGAUUUUAUUUUGUCAAUUAGGGUUUUGAUUUUACUCUUUCUAAUUUAGGAUUCUACUAUCACCCUGUCUUCUUCAUCUUCUUUUCGUUGAUUUUUUUUUUCUGUAAAAUCUGAUUUUUUAGGUUUGUUUCUGUCGUAUUGUGUUGUUGAUCAUUUGAUAGAUAAAGUCUGGUGUGUUUGGUUAGUUUUGUUGCUCGUUUGAGAACUGUCUUGUAGAUUCAAUGUUAGGAAAAAGUAAUUUUAUGAGAUCACCAGAUUUUAUUCAAAUUUAUGUGAUCGUGUAAGACUCCAUAAGUUAAAACUAUAUUUAAUUUGUUUCUUGUAUCUCUUCCUUUGAUCUGCAUAUUACUAAUAUUACUAAUAAUAGAAUUCUGUCAAACUCUUGGAUCUACUCAUAUUUCUAUAUUUAACAUGAAAAUAUAUUUCUAUAUUUAACAUGUAAAUUUUCAUGGCCAUAACAUGAUAACCUCAUUUUCUUGUAUCUUUAAUGGACUCGUGGCUUUAAAGGCAAUGUAGUUGUAGUUCACUCCUAUUGUUAUCUAGUUAUGUUGACCAUUCCUGAUGAUCUGCGUAUUACUUUUAAAUGUCUUUUAUUUGGUACUAAGAAACAUCAUGAAGUGGUUUUUCUUAUGGAAUUAUGGUUUACAACAGUCAUAAAGCAUUAUUUUUCUUUUUUCCUUUUCCUGCUUUUAUCUAAUAAUAUGUGAUCUUUAUUGUGAUUCUACUUGUUACUUGGUGUCUGAAGUUUGCAUACUUACAGAAUUAGGUGAGAUGAACUCCAUCAGUGUUGUGGAAUGAAAUCAUUGUUUAAUAAAAAAAGCAACAAAGUGGAUUCUGAUGGGUCAUCACCUGUAAGUUUUGAUCCCUUUUGUUUUUUAUUUAAAAUCUUGCUUUGAUUUCUUUCAAUUUCAUUAGGGUAUUUCCAUUUUAUUUGUAAUUUUCUAUGUGAUGCUAGGUUAAAGUGGUAGGUGUAAGGCAAUAUCCUUAUAUUAAAUGUGAAACAAUUUACUUAUCAUUACAUAACACUACAAGGAAAACGAUCAUUAGCCGCGACAAAAGUCGUCGGUAAUAAGUCAAGUUGUCGCCGAUAAUAGUAAUAGCGGCGAUGCGUCGCUGGUAGUAAGUUGCUACUACUAUUUCGUCACUAUUGAUGAACUUGUCGCAGCUAAUGAUAGAUGUCGCGAAUAAUGACCGUGUCACCGCUAAUGAUAGAUUUCACCGCUAAUGACCAUGUCGCCGGUAAUAACUCUGUCGCCGGUAAUAGUGUCACCAGUAAUUACAAUUUUCAUUUUUAAAAUUUUUUUUUGUAAUUAUUGAUUUUGUUUGCUGGUAAAAAUGUACUCGGUAAUUACAUAACAACAUUUGAUUAAAUAUAAAAAAUAAUAGUGUUGACGUUAAUUACAAAACAAACAUCCGAUUAUAAUUAAUUAAAUAUCAAAAGUCAUAAUAUCCGAUUAAAUAUAAAAAGUAUUAAUAUCGUCUGGUAUUAGUGUCGCCGGUAAUUACAAAAAACAACCAAAGUUUUACAAUCUACCAAGUAGCAAAGCAUGACAACGUAUGCAAAUAAAACUCAUCCUGACCUACAUACCAUCAUCUUCGUUCCCAUCGUUUCCUCGAUUAUUUUGGGAAUGAAAAAACGAAUGCAGCUCAUCCCUACAUGCCGGGUCGUUCAGCAUGGCACAAAGAUUUUCCAACUACAUAAUUAAUAACAACAUAUAUAAACUUAUAAGUUCAAUUAUCAAACAUAAACAAAAACUAUCAAAAUACAUUGUUAUUUUUAAACUAAGACAAGAAACCAAAGUACGUUGUUAUUUUUGCACUUGGGACACAAAUCUAAUUACCAAAGUUUUUAGCAAAUAAUCACCACAAAACCAAAAUUACCAAAUCAACAUGCAUUUUACGAUGCUAAAGUAGAUUGCUAUUUUUAAACUAAGACCAAAAACCAAUGUACGUUGUUAUUUUUUGCAUUUGGGACAAAAACCUAAUUACCAAAGUUUUUAGCAAAUAAUCACUACAAAACCAAAAUUACCAAAUCAACAUACAUUUUACGAUGCUAAAGUAGAUUGUUAUUUUUAAACUAAAAAAAAACCAAAGUACGUUGUUAUUUUUUGCACCUGGGACAAAAACCUAAUUACCAAACUUUUUAGCAAAUAAUCACCACAAAACCAAAAUUACCAAAUCAACAUACAUUUUACGAUGCUAAAGUAGAUUGUUAUUUUUAAACUAAGACAAAAAAACCAAAGUACGUUGUUAUUUUUUGCACUUUGGACAAAAACCUAAUUACCAAACUGUUUAGCAAAUAAUCACCACAAAACCAAAGUAGAUUGUUUUACCUGUGAUGGUUGUGGUGAUGGUUGCGAAGGCUGUGGAAUCGGCGGGAGAGUAGAAGGUUUAUGGCCGAUGCCUCUAAUAUGGCUACGUCGCUCUCCUAAUACUUUCUCUAACACAGUUCUUUCUUGAGUGGGUGUUAACUGACUUUCACCUUGAGUUUGUUCUAACAACUAUUCAACUAACCGAUUUUAUAACUUCUAAAAGUGAGUAACAAUUAAGUAUAAAUAAACAUUUAACUAUAUGAUAAAAUUAUAAUUAAAUACUUACAUAUUGUUGUUCCGCCUCAGUUGUAACAAAUACAUCAUUCUUAUCGGUAUGAGCUUUGCGAAACGUUUCCACUCUCUUAAGGUUCUGUUUAACUUUAAAAAUUAGAUUAUAUUUUAAAUAAAUAAUUACAUAUAUCGUACGUUACCUUCUUAUAGCAACUACUGCUAUACGAGCUCGACCCCCACGAUUCGCAUUUGUUUGCAUUUCACGGAUUUUUUUGUUCUUUUCUGAAGCAAUUAUGUGUUCGUUUGUUUGGAAAUACUCAACUGCUUUUUUCCACUUAUCAACUUCCAUACCCUCUGGAGGGUUGGCUAUUGCUCUCGGGAUAUCUUCAUACCCUCCGACUAACAUAAAAUAUUCUUUUGCGUCAGCUUUACGUUCUCGAUAACCUUUUAACAAAGCUGCUUGGAAACUCUCUGUCAACAUAUUAACUUGUCAUCUCGGUACAUCUAAUCUAAAUCAAACUUUGUCUACAAAUAAAAAAGUUAACCAAGUAAAAAACAAUUAUAGUUAACCAUAUAAAAUAUAUUUAAAUAAAUAACUGCCGCUAAAUGUUGUAAUACGGUGUCCUGUAUUGCAGGGGAAACUUUUUUCCAAGUGCAUUUAUCAAAAGGGACCAUCUGCCACAUUGUUUUUCCAACUUCUCGGGAAAACAUGUCUUUCGGCUCUCCUACGGGAUCAAAUGUGAUAUCCCUAUCAUAUUCCAUGCUAAUCGGUUUGCCCUGGUUCCAUAAGAUCGUUUUUUCAAGCUUUAUAUUUUUCGAUUUGCCUCGAACUUUCCUUUGUGCAAGUUGCUCAACUACAAAUGUAAUUAAAAAUUAUUAGAAACGGUAUUUAAUUUAUAAUAGCUGAACAAAAAUAGUAAACAACAAUUCAUAACAAGACUUACCGUCCUGCUCGUGAUGACCAACACCUCUACCACCUGGGAGAGGUGCGUCCUCAGCUCCAUCACCCCCCGUGUCCACGACCCAUAACAGCUGCCAUGGUAUACAUAAACAAAAGCCAUAUUGUCAUCAUUUCUUGAAAAACUUAUAAGAUAUACAAAUAUAAUUUUUAUUACAAAUACACAUUACAUAGAAAUAAACAUUUACAUAGGAAUAAACAUUUCUAUUUAAACAAGAACUGUUCUAAUCAGAAUAUUCCUCAUAUCCUUCGGUGUCUUCUUCUGUAUCAUAAUCAUAAUCGGUCUCAUCGUAAUCAGUUUCGCAAUCAGAAACAUCAUUGACUAUACCAGUAUAGCAUCCUACUUAUACCAAAACCACAUACUUUUCCACAUAAUACACAAGAGAAUGAAAUUCACAUACUUUCACACACAUAUACCACGUAUACACCAAAUACAAAUACAUUCACAUACACACAAAAUAACAUCCUACUUAAAUUAAAUACACAUAUUUUCACAUAUAUAGCUAAUAACAUCCUAUUUAUACCAAAUACAAAAAUUUCACAAUCA